rnacentral:tRNA from 1 species
UAUUAAGAAGAAUAAAUUAUUAAAUAUUCUCUAAUAAGAACUUAAAUCUUAUGCACUGUUCUGCCAUCUUAAU